GGGGAUGAUCAGGCUUCGACGGAUUGCAUCGCACAACAAGCUGCGUGUCGAGUCAAUCUGACUUGGACUCGUAAAAAUCACGUCAGAAAACCUGUAACUGCGAACGAUUAUUCGUACGCGAUGGCGGCAUAAACCCGCUAUCUGUCUUCUAUGCAUACCCGCUCACAGGUGGUAUAGAAGGCAUCGCCAAAUGUGAGCACCCUAUCUGGAUUCCGGCUGGAUCCUGGUAGCGGUAUCGAUCAGCCUUUGCUGACACCCGGCCCCGGUCGCACGCCAAGGGUAGAUGCAAGACAUUAAGGUGUGACCUACACACGUAGACGCUUGUCUGUCCGACCUUUCGGACCCGGGUUCGAUUCCCGGCAUCUCCACAA
rnacentral:tmRNA from 1 species